rnacentral:ncRNA from 1 species
UGCCAUAAGGGGGGACUAUUACCCCUUAUGGCACAUACGUCGCACGUCGCA